rnacentral:tmRNA from 1 species
GGGGCUUUAAAGGUUUCGACGUGGUAGCGAAAGCUGCUCGUUGAUGCAGGUCGAGAGGGAGUCGCAUCUCGUUAAUAAAGGCUCAAAACAAUAGAUGCAAACAACAUCGUUAAAUUUGCUCGUAAGGAUGCCCUAGUAGCAGCCUAACAAACCCCUCAAAGGUUCGAGCGCUUCUAGUUUGACUCCGUUAAGGAUUAGAGGCAAACCCCAACGGAUGCACUAGUUAGUUUUCUCUGGUGGGCUAAUUGGUAAAGACUUCACCAAAGCAUCCUGCCGUUCGGGAUAAUGAACGAUUCCCGCCUAGAGGGUCAGAUAGGCUAAACCUGUGAAUGAUGCGGGAGUAAAUACCUAUUGCGGACAUGGGUUCAAUUCCCAUAAGCUCCAUUU